ACGAACGCUGGCGGCGUGCUUAACACAUGCCAGUCGAACGGAAAGGCCCUGCUUUUGUGGGGUGCUCGCGUGGCGAACGGGUGAGUAACACGUGAGUAACCUGCCCUUGACUUUGGGAUAACUUCAGGAAACUGGGGCUAAUACCGGAUAGGAGCUCCUGCUGCAUGGUGGGGGUUGGAAAGUUUCGGCGGUUGGGGAUGGACUCGCGGCUUAUCAGCUUGUUGGUGGGGUAGUGGCUUACCAAGGCUUUGACGGGUAGCCGGCCUGAGAGGGUGACCGGCCACAUUGGGACUGAGAUACGGCCCAGACUCCUACGGGAGGCAGCAGUGGGGAAUAUUGCACAAUGGGCGGAAGCCUGAUGCAGCAACGCCGCGUGCGGGAUGACGGCCUUCGGGUUGUAAACCGCUUUCGCCUGUGACGAAGCGUGAGUGACGGUAAUGGGUAAAGAAGCACCGGCUAACUACGU
rnacentral:rRNA from 1 species